rnacentral:rRNA from 1 species
UACGUAGGGUGCGAGCGUUAAUCGGAAUUACUGGGCGUAAAGCGUGCGCAGGCGGUUUUGCAAGCCGGAUGUGAAAUCCCCGGGCUCAACCUGGGAAUGGCAUUUGGGACUGCAAGGCUCGAGUGCGGCAGAGGAGACUGGAAUUCCUGGUGUAGCAGUGAAAUGCGUAGAUAUCAGGAGGAAUACCGAUGGCGAAGGCAGCCCCCUGGGCCAAUACUGACGCUCAUGCACGAAAGCGUGGGGAGCAAACAGG